rnacentral:sRNA from 1 species
AUUAAUGAUACGUUGAAUUAGACCUCUCGGAUUAUGAAUCCCUUCGCGAACAUUUUCAUUAAUCAACCGUUUACCAACAAAUCGGGACAGAUCAACUUGUUUAUCAGCUGCAAUUAUGACACCGUCAGCUUCUUCGAUGUCUUGCGUAGUUAAAACAUUUUCAGCACCAACACCGCCCUGUGUCUCUACUUUAAUAUCCACACCCAUUUCUUUUGCUACCUGCUC